AGUUCCUGUAAAGUUACCGGGCUCUGUAUGUGACGUAAUGGUUGUGCGACCAUUUUGACGUAGGGACGCCGUUAGCCGUUAGCGGUGUUUGUAAUAACUCCGGUCACGGUCCGUGAAAAAAAUAUUUCUUCCAGCGGAUGUCUUAGUUACAACAUGAUUGAGCUAACUGGAGUAAUUUCAUGUCAUAUCCGACAACGGGAGGCUUUUAACAGAUGACGUCCUGAUGGGGAACUACCCAUUGGUCCGACAGCCCAUUGGUCCGACAUCCCAUUGUUCCGACCAUAUUAAACCUAUUGUUCCGAAGUCCGUUCCGAAAUCAUCAUGAUGCCCCUGUAAAAGUUCCGGAACUCUGUCCUUCGGGGGUGGUUCCUGCGGUGGAGACACGCACCAACGGCCCCGGCCCGUAAAAUUACCCCGAAGUUCCUGCGGUGGAAACGGGCCUUUUGUUAGAUUUUGGUGGGCGUUAGACCACCGCACAGAGAACAGUCACGGGGAAAUUUACCUCAACAAGUUGGAGCUCGAAGCUGGUGUAGCUGACAGCUGGGGACUGCUGGCAGUGAAAGGUGGAUUUAUAUAUGGAUGCCAGUCCUCCACCUUUGUCGGUGGUGCGAAGGGAGCUGAAGAAACUACAUCCAGGGGGAAGGAGCUCCGAAAAAGCAGUAGCCUAAGUUCUCCUUCACGGAGCCAGGUUUCCUUUAGGAACAUAAAAUCCAGUUUGCGUGAGGUAAAGAAAUCUUUCAAUAAAAAAGUUUUGUUGAUGACGGACAUUCAGUAAAGCCAAAUGAAGAUCAACAGUGUCAGAUGAGGAUGAGGCACGCUUCAGUGAGUGGAGGUUCCGACGGUCCUCACCGUGUCUCCCGGUUCGAACACGCCAGCUGGUGGGAGGCAGCAACAGCUGAUCGGGGUCCGUUGAACAGCUUAUGCUGUCAGAGCCACUGACGUCAGGGAACAUGGGCUGGAUCCAUCGGUCUUUAGUCCUCCACGAGCGCAGGGCAGGAGGAACGUCCCGAAAAUACAGAUCACUGCAGCGAUCAGACACACGAACAGACCUCAGGUGAGCCUCGAGCCUAACUCGGAGACCUCCGUGCUUACCACGUCUUCUGUGGCGUUUCUCGCGGGCAAGGUAGAGGGGAGGACGCCUCAGGAACACCGGGAUUUCAUCGAGGCAUGGAGGAGAGCUCACCAACGGGUCAUAUUUAAGCUGAUCGAAGAAGCCUUCAAUCUUUGGCGAUCACAGAUCAACUGUGGAACUGGAGUCAUUCCAUAAUCAUGUAUUGAUGUAUGCCAGCAAACAAUUCAGCUUCACUCCCCCUUUAUACAAUGCGCGAGUGUUCCUUGCAGCGCUGGACUACAACCACCAUGUAAACAGGGCACCCAAAAGAAAGGCAGAUGGCUCACUUCAGUAUGGUAAGGUGUGCAAUAAAAAGUCUGGGAAAUUGCGCUUGCAAACAAUAAAGGAGGAGAAGGACGACAGUUAUAUCCAUGACCUCCAAGUGUCUAUUCUGCAGAAGAGACUGUCAUCUGAUGCAGACGUGCCACUUAGAAAAAAAUCAAGGCCAGGUGAAGACCUUCUAAGGACACAGGUCAGCAGAGGAAUAUAAGACACUCCCAGACACAGAUAUAGCAUCACAUCACCCUCAGCAACUUCCCAGCCCCUCCUCUUACAUCGGCAGCCCUGCUCUCCAGCCUAGGACCAUGCUCUGCCCAGCACUCCCCUGGAUGUCUUUCUGGACCUGCUCAGCUCAACCUGCUCCUCUCUCCACAGCAUUCCCCCCAGCCCUGCCUGGUUUAAAAAAUCCAGCCCUUUCCAGUUCUCCUUCAGCCUUUUCCCCCAGUUUGAUUCCCAAAAGUAAAUUAUGUAAUUAUUUCAGUCAUGACUACUUGUCUCUCUGUUUCACACUUACAGUAACUAGCUCCAGGUAACAACUGAAUAUUGACUCUCCACUUUUGAUUAUGUAACACUGUUCACAAUUUACAGAUAUGUUUGUGUAUAUUUUCCUUUCUUUAUAGUGAUAUUGUGAUUGUUCUGUGGUUUACAGUGGUGUUAUCCAUACAUUAGUUUGUUAUAGAUAUAUUGAUAAAUUAUACAUAGACUUGAUACUUUUACUGUGCACAGUGAUAAAUGCUGAAUGCUCUAUUGGGCCUUUAGAUAGGAGACCUGGAAAAAUGUUCUUACACCCAUGUUUCAUUUUCUGUAUUUAUUAAAAAGUAGAAAACAACAAAAUUAGUAAAUACAACAAAAUGGUCUACACCCUGCUGGGAAUGUACCCUGUAUGCUGGUCCUGAGGAUCUUGGUAUCGGUCCCAGAUUUUCCAAACACAGCAGCUUAGUAUGACAACCCUUUGUCCCUGACCCAGUGCUCCAUACUGCCACACUACAAACUGGAUGUAGGCAGCAUGGUGGAACUGCCGGUGGCUCUCCCCUGGGUUGGGUAAAUCACGCACAGCCCUUAUGUCGUUCCAGAUCCUCCUGGCCAGUCUGAGGACUCCUCCCUCCAAAAUGUGUAGGUCCAUAUGUGGCAAAAGAGAAAUGCAGUGGUCGGGGGCUUGACCACAGCAUUUCCUCUCAAUGUCAGAGGGCAUCUCUCUGCACCUUUGGCACGUACACCAGGUUGGCUGACACCAGACAGGUGGGACAGCAGGGGUCCCCCAGUAGGGUCCCCCAGUGAUGACAUCAAAUCAAACAUCAUGCUUGGGUCCCUUUCCAAACAGUGCUGCAACAGCUGAUGAGAUUGGUCAUGGUCC